AGUGAACGCUGGCGGUAGGCCUAACACAUGCAAGUCGAACGGCAGCACAGUAAGAGCUUGCUCUUACGGGUGGCGAGUGGCGGACGGGUGAGGAAUACAUCGGAAUCUACUUUUUCGUGGGGGAUAACGUAGGGAAACUUACGCUAAUACCGCAUACGACCUACGGGUGAAAGCAGGGGAUCUUCGGACCUUGCGCGAUUGAAUGAGCCGAUGUCGGAUUAGCUAGUUGGCGGGGUAAAGGCCCACCGAGGCGACGAUCCGUAGCUGGUCUGAGAGGAUGAUCAGCCACACUGGAGCUGAGACACGGUCCAGACUCCUACGGGAGGCAGCAGUGGGGAAUAUUGGACAAUAGGCGGAAGCCUGAUCCAGCCAUACCGCGUGGGUGAAGAAGGCCUUCGGGUUGUAAAGCCCUUUUGUUGGGAAAGAAAAGCAGCAGGUUAAUACCCCGCUGUUCUGACGGUACCCAAAGAAUAAGCACCGGCUAACUUCGUG
rnacentral:rRNA from 1 species